ensembl:lncRNA
AUGGAAGACACAGUAACUGUGGAGCAAGUCACAGAGUGUGCGUUGAGGAUUAGUGAAGGUUUGCGUGAGGCUGAGGCAAACAUUAAAGCCUCUCAAAAGAAAAUGAGAAAAAGGUUGUGUCCAUCCAGCAAACCCUUUGUAGUGGGGGACAAAGUAUGGAGGCAAAACGUGAGAAGCCAACAGCGGAAAGGGGGAAAACUGGAGGCUAACUACCUGGGUCCUUACACUAUUGUGGCACUGGAGGGAAAAAGUGCAGAUCUUCAAGAUGAGAGGGGUGUCAAAAUGCCCAAAAUUAAUACAGAUCAUUUGAGACCCCACUGUGAAGAUGUCCCCAAAGUCCCUCACAAGCUCCGGAAAAUCUUAAUGGAAAAUAAAACCUAUACACUGAAUCCCUCAACUCUGAUCAGCUGCAAAUCUCCCUCUCAUGUCCAUCCUCCCUCUCCAGUCAGCCCCACAGCACCUUCUCCACCUGUCCAUCCUCCCUCUCCAGUCAGCCCCACAGCACCUUCUCCACCUGUCCAUCCUCCCUCUCCAGGCAGCUCCACAGCACCUUCUCCACCUGUCCAUCCUCCCUCUCCAGUCAGCCCCACAGCACCUUCUCCACCUGUCCAUCCUCCCUCUCCAGUCAGCCCCACAGCACCUUCUCCACCUGUCCAUCCUCCCUCUCCAGUCAGCUCCACAGCACCUUCUCCACCUGUCCAUCCUCCCUCUCCAGGCAGCUCCACAGCACCUUCUCCACCUGUCCAUCCUCCCUCUCCAGUCAGCCCCACAGCACCUUCUCCACCUGUCCAUCCUCCCUCUCCAGUCAGCUCCACAGCACCUUCUCCACCUGUCCAUCCUCCCUCUCCAGGCAGCUCCACAGCACCUUCUCCACCUGUCCAUCCUCCCUCUCCAGUCAGCUCCACAGCACCUUCUCCACCUGUCCAUCCUCCCUCUCCAGUCAGCUCCACAGCACCUUCUCCACCUGUCCAUCCUCCCUCUCCAGUCAGCCCCACAGCACCUUCUCCACCUGUCCAUCCUCCCUCUCCAGUCAGCUCUGCAGAUAAAUCUAUCCAGGCAUCGGGAACAGAAACAUAUCAUUCAUGAGACAAAAGGGGGUUAAAAUAUCUCGAUGGAUGUGUGACACACUGCCACACCCCCAACAAAGAGAUGGCAAUUCCUGUGGGGCCUUUGUCCUGAAGGUAACUAAAAACAUCAGAGUGCAUUAAAUACAGGAUCAGAGUUUAUAUAAUGCUGACAAAGCACAAAUAGUUACAAUGUUCCUUAUGUAUACUGUUUACUAGGGCUGGGUACUGUGACAAAUUUGGCGAUUAGAUUUGAUUCAUAUUCAUAGGUUUCAAUUGAAUUUGAUUUUCACUAGAUUCAAUAACGAUUAGUUAUCAAUAUUUCAUUUUAAAUGUUAGUUUUGCAGACAUGGAAUUCAUAUUUAUAACUGCUGGUAACUGAAACCCUCCUACUCAGCUAUAUUAAUGAAAUACACUUUUAAAUUAACAUUUGAAAAGAUCACAAGUUCAUAACUAUUAUACAUUACCAUAAUACCAUUAACAAAUUGUAUGUAUAUAGUUUGCAGAAUGCAUUCUUAAUGAGGAGCGUAUCAAAUUCUCCACAACCCCAAAUGGAGUAAAAGCUCUCAGGAUGGCAAUAGCCACCAACCUAAUAAAAAACACAGGUAAGAAAUCUGGAAUUGCAAUCUUUCUAUUAUUAGAUUAAUGAUUAGCAUGUAAACUAAACAUAUUUGCAACUGUAAAAUGACUGUUGACUAGAUCAGUGGUUCUCAACCACAUUCCUGGAGGACCACCAACACUGCACAUUUUGCAUGUCUCCUUAAUCAAACACACCUGAUUCAGGUCACCUUCUCAUUAGUAGAAACUCACAGACUUGUAAUGGGUGUGUCAGACAAAGGAGACAUGCAAAAUGUGCAGUGUUGGUGGUCCUCCAGGAAUGUGGUUGAGAACCACUGGACUAGAUGACCUUAAGGACCUCUGCUACUUCUGUGGGGAAACAGAAAAUGACACAGACUGGGUAAGUAAACCUUUCUUUUUUCUUUUAUAUAACUGAUUUAGAAGAGUUUUGGAUUGCAUUGCUGUAUUGUAUUUCAUGUUAACGUGUGUAUUUCUAUAUAUUUAGAUCAGCUGUGAUGUCUGCUUAAGGUGGUUUCACUGCAGCUGCAUUCAGAAGUCAAUAAAGGCAAAGACUUUCAUCUGCCAGGCAUGCAGCACAUAAAAAUUUGGCAGAAAAAAAAGUGCUGGACUGUAAAUAGUUCAUUUCAGUGUAGAAACAAUUUAGUAUAGAUACAACACACUUUUUUGUUCUGUAUAGUUAUUGUAGUUAUACUUUUCUGUAUAGAUCUUUUUUUUUUCUUUGUAAAUUCUUAAAAGGACUGUUCACCCAAAAAUGAAAUUUGUCUUCAUUUACUCACCCUCAUCACUAACCCACUGCAGACAAGCUGUAGUUCAUAGGAGGCACCUGCACUGCUCCACAUUUCAAGUGGAAAUGAAUGACACCAUAAAGCAGCAUAGUCGCAUUCAGCCCUUACUUAUCUGAGGAAGUAAGAAGAGGAAAUGAGAAGAGUGGUGAUCUAUACAAUAGGUCACAGCAAUAAGUGUAAUGAGAAAAAUUAUGUCAUUGUAUUGCAAAAUAAUUUUUCAGAUUAGAAAAAGACAAGACAAAUUUGGUGUUAUCAAAAAUAACCAAUAAAACACAUGACUUUAAAAAUCUGCUGAAUAAAUUACAUAUUUACAAUAAAUUAUUCAGUUAUUGAUAAUGAAUGCUAUACUAAUAUAAUAAUAAUAAUAAUAAUAAUAAUAAUAAUAAUAAUAAUUUGCUAAUUUACUU